rnacentral:rRNA from 1 species
UACGUAGGUGGCAAGCGUUGUCCGGAAUUAUUGGGCGUAAAGCGCGCGCAGGCGGUCCCUUAAGUCUGAUGUGAAAUCCCACGGCUCAACCGUGGAAGGUCAUUGGAAACUGGGGGACUUGAGUACAGAAGAGGAAAGCGGAAUUCCAAGUGUAGCGGUGAAAUGCGUAGAGAUUGGGAGGAACACCAGUGGCGAAGGCGGCUUUCUGGUCUGUAACUGACGCUGAGGCGCGAAAGCGUGGGGAGCAAACAGG